UCAUCUGGCGUUAGAUUCUCAUAAGGAGCGUGCAGCCUAGAUCCCUCCAUGCGCAGUUCACAAUAGUGUUUGCGCUCCAGUGUUGCUGAAUCUAAUGCAAGUGCUGAUCUGACAGGAGGUGGAGCUCAGUUGGUAAUGCUCCCCGUGGCUUCUGGCUCAUCUUCUGCUGUGCAGCCAGUUCCUAACAGGCCACAGACCGGUACCAGACCAUGCCCUGGAGGUUGUGGACCCCUGCUCUAAAGCUACUUCCAGAGCUGUCACUGGAACCUGACUUUUCUUCUGAACCACACUGUGUGUCCAUGAACUUCUCAAGAGGUUCUCCACCUUCCUCUGCAAUGGCUCAGCUCCACUCCCAGGCCUCUCUUGAGAAUUGCCGCAUCAGCUGCAGCGUGCCCUCCUCCUCUCUGUGAAUUUCUCCUGUGACAAGAUGCCUAUCGCUUUGCAUCAGGUUGCAUCAUAUGAUGUCAGAAAAGCUGAAAGAAAACAAAGUGCUGUCCCUGGGGAGAGAGGCGCUCUUAACACAGAAAGGAGCCUUGUGGGGGGCGCUGCACUUGGGUUUCACCUGCAGAACACCCACUUCUGGCUUCAAGGAAUCAUUCUUUAGUCCCACAUUCUAUAUCGCCAUUUGUUUUUCAUGAGCAUUAAAAACGCAUUCUUAGUUCUCA